GCUCCAAUAGCGUAUAUUAAAGUUGUUGCAGUUAAAAAGCUCGUAGUUGGAUUUCUGGCGAGGCUUGGUCGGUCGGCGCUUAGCGUGUGAACCGUGUCGAGCCUUGCCAUCCUGAGGAAGAACCUUGUUGGCAUUAAGUUGUCGACUUGGGUACUCCUCUCGUUUACUGUGAAAAAAUUAGAGUGUUCAAAGCAGGCUUA
rnacentral:rRNA from 1 species